rnacentral:sRNA from 1 species
ACCCGCCCGGGGCGCUUGUCGCGUCCGGGUGAAAGACAGACACACCGUGCCCGGGGAAGAAAUGGGCACAUCAGGGCGUU